CUCCUAUCUACCGAUUGUUAUAUUUAAUUUGACAUCAAACUGACAGAAAAUAUAUUGAACAAAGCGUUAAUGUAAAUAAGAAUUUGUUCUUAUUAACUGACUUGCCUAUUUAAAUAAAGGUUAAAAAUAAUAAAUUAAAACUAGCCAAGCAUGAUGGACCAAUUACAAUGGAGGAUUAGGUAACCAAUCACGAAUCAUGUUGUUGCGACGUCCAGUACGACUGCGCACGUUGGCAUGAGAGAAACAAAAAAACAUAUUGAUCAACUUUCUAAACCGAUUCAAGCAUGGAUGCUCAAAAAGACGUCCAACCCCCAAAGCAACAGCCUAUGAUCUACAUAUGUGGGGAAUGCCACACUGAAAAUGAAAUUAAGGCUCGUGAUCCAAUCAGAUGCAGAGAGUGUGGAUACAGAAUCAUGUACAAGAAGAGAACAAAGAGAUACUCCAGUGGUUGUGUUUGACGCGCGGUGAAGUGGACGACGACAACAUUUGACUCAUUUUUGUUCUGUUCGUUUUUUAGUGUGUCACAGUGUUGCACCAAGUCACCAACACUUCAUAUUCUUUCUAGGAAACCCCACAGGCUUGGGAAGCACUACCACUAUGGGUGCCCAGUUGGUUGAUUCAUGUUCCUGCAACUGUAAUCAAUGAUAGAAAUGGUUUAUAAAAUACAUUUUGAUUGAUUGAACUUGUGGUUUUUGCACAUCAAGAAAAGAAACAGUGAACAAUAUUUUAUCAUUUGAAAAUAAAAAUAUGCAAAUGUAUUAAUUCGAAACAACAGAAUCUAUAUUAAUCAGAUUUAAACAACAGUUGGCCCUUAGACUCAACAACCCUGAAGCAACUAUCAGCAGACAAAAAUAAUCACAAAAAAUAGAUAUUGGACACUGUUAAAACAUUUGCAUGGAGAAAAGCACCAGGAAUGGACGGCUUUCUCAUAGAAUUAACAUUUUGGGACAAAGUAGCCCCCCCUUAUUUACACAAAUGACAACACACGUCACUCAAUUCAGUACUUCCUAGUUCCAUGUAUGAAACAGUUAUUUCAGUUAUGUUAAAAUCUGGAGAGUCCCCUGUUCAUUAUAGAUCCAUAAGUUUAAUAAAUUGUGACAAAAUAAUAACAAAGCUCAUAAGCAAUAGAAGGGCAAAAGUCUUACCAGAUUUUAUACAUAUCAAUCAAACAGGGGUUUAUUAAACAUUUACACAAACAAAUACAAGAACAUGUUUCAGUUUAAUACAAAUACGCUAAAAAAACAAGAUCUAGAUUGAUCAAUAAUGGAUGUUGAUGCCGGCUUUCGGCCGUCUUCAAUGGCCUUUUCUAUUCAAAACUUUGGAAGCUUUUAACUUUCCAGCUGAAAUAAUACAUUUAAUAAAAACAUUUCUAUAAAUGUCCUAAAGCAAAAAUAUACACAAAUAAUACAUUAUCUGAUAAAAUUGCUUUAGAAAGGGGCACAAGACAGGGAUGUUUUCUCCCACUCUCAUGUUUGCACUGGAAAUUGAACCGCUUCCAGAAAGAAUUAGACAGGACACAAACAUAUCAGUGUUGAUAAACAUGAAUAUAAACAAAACAUAUUUGCAGAUGAUCCCCCUCAUAUACCUGACCAAUAUUCAAAACUCGACCCCUUGCUAAAAAUAUUUUCAGAAUGUUCUAAAAUCUCAGGAUAUAAAAUGUAUGUGGAUUCAAAAAGAAAGAAAGCAUAAAUCAUGAUCUACAGCUUUAAGUUAGGGGGUUCCUUACUGAGCCCUGGACGACCAGGUGAGGGGUCCUUACUGAGCCCUGGACGACCAGGUGAGGGGUCCUUACUGAGCCCUGGACGACCAGGUGAGGGGUCCUUACUGAGCCCUGGACGACCAGGUGAGGGGUCCUUACUGAGCCCUGGACGACCAGGUGAGGGGUUCCUUACUGAGACCUGGACGACCAGGUGAGGGGUCCUUACUGAGCCCUGGACGACCAGGUGAGGGGUCCUUACUGAGACCUGGACGACCAGGUGAGGGGUCCUUACUGAGCCCUGGACGACCAGGUGAGGGGUCCUUACUGAGACCUGGACGACCAGGUGAGGGGUCCUUACUGAGCCCUGGACGACCAGGUGAGGGGUCCUUACUGAGACCUGGACGACCAGGUGAGGAGAGUUCCUUACUGAGACCUAGACAACCAGGUGAGGGGAGUUCCUUACUGAGACCUAGACAACCAGGUGAGGGGAGUUCCUUACUGAGAUCUAGACAACCAGGUGAGGGGAGACCUAGACAACCAGGUGAGGGGAGUUUCUUACUGAGACCUAGACAACCAGGUGAGGGGAGUUCCUUACUGAGACCUGGACAACCAGGUGAGGGGAGACCUAGACAACCAGGCGAGGGGAGUUCCUUACUGAGACCUAGACAACCAGGUGAGGGGAGUUCCUUACUGAGACCUAGACAACCAGGUGAGGGGAGUUCCUUACUGAGACCUAGACAACCAGGUGAGGGGCGUUCCUUACUAAUUAGUGACCUUAAUUCAUCAAUCAAGUAUUCUAUUCUCGUUCUGAGAAAUGAAGGCUAUUCCAUGUUAGAAAUUGCCAAGAAACUGAAGAAGCGACUCCGGGAUGCUGGCCUUCUAGGCAGAGUUCCUCUGUCCAGUGUCUGUGUUCUUUUGCCCAUCUUAAUCUUUUCUUUUUAUUGGCCAGUCUGAGAUACGGCUUUUCCUUUGCAACUCUGCCUAGAAGGCCAGCAUCCCGGAGUCGCCUCUUCACUGUUGACGUUGAGACUGGUGUUUUGCGGGUACUAUUUAAUGAAGCUGCCAGUUGAGGACUUGUGAGGCGUCUGUUUCUCAAACUAGACACUCUAAUGUACUUGUCCUCUUGUUCAGUUGUGCACCGGGGCCUCCCACUCCUCUUUCUAUUCUGGUUAGAGACAGUUUGCGCUGUUCUGUGAAGGGAGUAGUACACAGCGUUGUACGAGAUAUUCAGUUUCUUGGCAAUUUCUCACAUGGAAUAGCCUUCAUUUCUCAGAACGAGAAUAGGCUGACGAGUUUCAGAAGAAAGUCUGUAAUCGAACCUACAAAUGCUGAUGCUCCAGAUACUCAACUAGUCUAAAGAAGGCCCGUUUUAUUGCUUCUUUAAUUAGAACAACAGUUUUAAGCCGUAUCCAGCUACAAUAGUCAUUUACAACAUUAACGAUGUCUUCACUGUAUUUCUGAUCAAUUUGAUGUUAUUUUAAUAGUAAAAAAAAAAGAGCUUUUCUUUCAAAAACAAGGACAUUUCUAAGUGACCCCAAACUUUUGAACGGUAGUGUACAUGUUUUCUGCUGGUUAAGACAUCUCCACUACAGGACCUUGAUGAGUGUGCAUGAAGAGAAUUCUCUUGGUAGAUAAUGCGGUCGGCAUUUUGAUUGUAAGGAAUUCUAAGUCAGGUGAACAAAAGUACUUGAGUUCCGGUGUAAUCACAACAACAUACAGGAACUCAAGUCCUUUUAUUCACCUGACUUAGAAUUCCUUACGAUCAAAUGCCGACCGCAUUAUCUACCAAGAGAAUUCUCUUCGAUUAUAAUCACAGUCGUGUAUAUCCCCCCCUCCAAGCAGACACAUCGACGGCCCUGAAUGAACUUCAGGUAAACUGGAAACCACAUAUCCUGAAGCUGCAUUUAUUGUAGCUGGGGAUUUUAACAAGGCUAAUCUGAAAACAAGGCACCCUAAAUUUUAUCAGCAUAUCGAAAGUGCUAUCCAGGGCUGGCAAAAAGCCCUCCCUCGCUCCUCCUUUCAGCAAAUCUGACCACGACUCCAUUUUGUUGCUCCCAGCCUAUAGGCAGAAACUAAAACAGGAAGCGCCCGUGCUCAGGUCUGUUCAACACUGGUCCGACCUAAUCAGAUUUCACGCUUCAGGAUUGCUUCGAUCACGUGGACUGGGAUAUGUUCCGGAUAGCCUCAGACAACAACAUUUAUGUAUACGCUGACUCGGUGAGCGAGUUUAUUAGCAAGUGCAUCGGUGAUGUUGUACUCACUGUGACUAUUAAAACCUUCCCCAACCAGAAACUGUGGCUUGAUGGCAGCAUUCGUGCAAAACUGAAAGCGCGAACCGCUGCUUUUAAUCAGGGCAAGGUGACCGGAAACGUGACCGAAUACAAACAGUGUAGCUAUUCCCUCCGUAAGGCAAUCAAACAAGCUAAGCGUCAGUAUAGAGACAAAGUGGAGUCGCAAUUCAAUGACUCAGACACGAGAGGUAUGUGGCAGGGUCUACAGUCAAUCACGGACUACAAAAAGAAAACCAACCCCGUCGCGGACCCCGAUGUCUUGCUCGCAGACAAACUAAACAACUUCUUUGCUCGCUUUGAGGACAGUACAGUGCCACCCGACACGGCCCGCUACCAAAACCUGCGGGCUCUCCUUCCCGCUACCGCAGCCAACGUGAGUAAAACAUUUAAACGUGUUAAACCCUCGCAAGGCUGCCGGCCCAGACAGCAUCCCCGGCCGCGUCCUCAGAGCAUGCGCAGACCAGCUGGCUGGUGUGUUUACGGACAUAUUCAAUCAAUCCAUAUCGCAGUCUGCUGUUCCCACAUGCUUCAAGAGGGCCACCAUUGUUCCUGUUCCCAAGAAAGCUAAGGUAACUGAGCUAAAUGACUAUCGCCCCGUAGCACUCACUUCCGUCAUCAUGAAGUGCUUUGAGAGACUAGUCAAGGAUCAUAUCACCUCCACCCUACCUGAUACCCUAGACCCACUCCAAUUUGCUUACCGCCCCAAUAGGUCCACAGACGACGCAAUCGCCAUCACACUACACACUGCCCUAUCCCAUCUGGACAAGAGGAAUACCUAUGUAAGAAUGCUGUUCAUCGACUACAGCUCAGCAUUCAACACCAUAGUACCCUCCAAACUCGUCAUUAAGCUCGAGACCCUGGAUCUCGACCCCGCCCUGUGCAUCAUGGUCCUGGACUUCCUGACUGGCCGCCUCCAGGUGGUGAGGGUAGGAAACAACAUCUCCACCCCGCUGAUCCUCAACACUGGGGCCCCCACAAGGGUGCGUUCUCAGCCCUCUCCUGUACUCCCUGUUCACCCAUGACUGCGUGGCCAUGCACGCCUCCAACUCAAUCAUCAAGUUUGCAGACGACACUACAGUAGUAGGCUUGAUUACCAACAACGACGAGACGGCCUACACGGAGGAGGUGAGGGCCCUCAGAGUGUGGUGUCAGGAAAAUAACCUCACACUCAACGUCAACAAAACAAAGGAGAUGAUCGUGGACUUCAGGAAACAGCAGAGGGAGCACCCCCCUAUCCACAUCGACGGGACAACAGUGGAGAAGGUGGAAAGUUUUAAGUUCCUCGGCGUACACAUCACGGACAAACUGAAAUGGUCCACCCACACAGACAGUGUGGUGAAGAAGGCGCAACAGCGCCUCUUCAACCUCAGGAGGCUGAAGACAUUUGGCUUGUCACCAAAAACACUCACAAACUUUUACAGAUGCACAAUCGAGAGCAUCCUGUCGGGCUGUAUCACCGCCUGGUACGGCAACUGCUCCGCCCACAACCGUAAGGCUCUCCAGAGGGUGGUGCGGUCUGCACAACGCAUCACCGGGGGCAAACUACCUGCCCUUCAGGACACCUCCACCACCCGAUGUCACAGGAAGGCCAAAAUAUAAUCAAGGUCAUCAACCACCCGAGCCACUGCCUGUUCACCCUGCUAUCAUCCAGAAGGCGAGGUCAGUACAGGUGCAUCAAAGCUGGGACCGAGAGACUGAAAAACAGCUUCUAUCUCAAGGCCAUCAGACUGUUAAACAGCCAUCACUAACAUUGAGUGGCUGCUGCCAACAUACUGACUCAUCUCUAGCCACUUUAAUAAUUAAACAUUGGAUGUAAUAAAUGUAUCACUACCCACUUUAAACAAUGCCACUUUAUUUAAUGUUUUCAUACCCUACAUUACUCAUCUCAUACUGUACUCUAUACCAUCUACUGCAUCUUGCCUAUGCCGUUCGGCCAUCGCUCAUCCAUAUAUUUAUAUGUACAUAUUCUUAUUCAUUCCUUUACACUUGUGUGUAAAAGGUAGUUGUUGUGAAAUUGUUAGAUUACUUGUUAGAUAUUACUGCACGGUCGGAACUAGAAGCACAAGCAUUUCGCUACACUCGCAUUAACAUCUGCUAACCAUGUGUAUGUGACCAAUAAAAUUUGAUUUGAUUUGUAGAAUAGUGUCAUGUUUCUAAUG
rnacentral:lncRNA from 1 species